CAUGAUAUCAUAUAUCUCAUAUACUAAUCAUGGAUCAGAUUAAAAGUAAAUUUAUAAUCUAAAUAUGUAAACAUAUAAUACAUAUAUGAAUCAAAAUUUAGAUCAUAUAAAAAUUUCAAAUUUUAUGCAUGCAUCUAUGUAUCACAUAAACAUGAACUAGAACUAUUUUUAGAUCAAAAUUUAGAUCUAUGCAUGCAAUAACAUAUCAUCUAUAUAUUCUAAAAUUAAAUCUAAAAUCAAAUUUUUAGAUUAAAAGAUUCAUCUAUAUAUCUCAUGUAUCAAAAAAAAAUCUGAUUUUGAAAUCUUCUCAAAAAUAUGUAUAUCAAAAUUCAGCAU
rnacentral:lncRNA from 1 species